rnacentral:lncRNA from 1 species
GGGGUCAAGUCUGAUGCAAUGAUUGCCGGCAGGGUGUCAUUGCGUCCUAGAAAUACAUACUUGAGCGUAGCAGGAAGGGGUUUCAAUUCUAACGUAGGUGGUAAUUCUAAAGAUGGAACUAUUGGUGUACUGGCUAAUGUGGGCAAUGGCUCAUACUUGAUUGUCCAUGGAGGAGUGAUUUUAUCGUGUGGUGUAUCCAACAAGGUUUUAACUUCUUUCAUAUAUCCCUCAAAGUCAUACACUCCAAAGUGAGCCAAGCAAGUAUCUAAGGGGUCUGGUGCU